GGGGGCGAGCGGGGGGUUCAAUGUCUCCCUACCCCGCGCCCCGCCAGCCGGGGCGCGGGCGGGAGCGCCCGGGGGCGCCCGCCACCACCCGGCCGGGCGCACUUCCCCCAUCGCGGUGCACCGCGACCGGCUCCGGGUUGGCUUGGAAAGGCUCGGGACGACGGUGGCGCGGGUGGCCCGCGCGGGACCGGGGUUUUCCCCCCGCCUCCGGGCAGGGGGGGGCCCUCCCCACGCGUCAGCCCCCGCGCUUUACAGCGCUCCCCCGCCCUUUCCCGCCCCCUACCUCGCCGCUUCCCCCGGGGUCGUGGGACGUACCGCUGUGCCCUCCGUUCACGGCCGCACCGCCAGGGCGGGGACCGGCCCACGUUCGGACGGGCGCCAGGGGUCCGCGGCGAUGUCGGCAGCCCACCCGACCCGUCUUGAAACACGGACCAAGGAGUCUAACGUGCGCGCGAGUCAGAGGGCCUGACAAAACCCGACCCGGCG